UACGGGGGGGGCAAGCGUUGUUCGGAAUUACUGGGCGUAAAGGGCUCGUAGGCGGCCAACUAAGUCAGACGUGAAAUCCCUCGGCUUAACCGGGGAACUGCGUCUGAUACUGGAUGGCUUGAGUUUGGGAGAGGGAUGCGGAAUUCCAGGUGUAGCGGUGAAAUGCGUAGAUAUCUGGAGGAACACCGAUUGCGAAGGCAGCUAACGAAACUGUAACUGACACUGAGGCUCGAAAGUGCGGGGAUCAAACAGG
rnacentral:rRNA from 1 species